AAACUUACUUGGCAGCAGCAUUACCAAGGAGGUAUUUUGACCAAAUCGAGGCUCAGCCGUUGCACUUGGGCUCUGCUGACCUUUGCCAAUUCCCCAAUUGUGGGAUUUUCAACAGCAUAAUUUCUGAUAGUGGUGAAAUGCAUUUGUGCUUUCCACUU